rnacentral:tRNA from 1 species
GGGUUCGUAGCACAAGCGGUCUUAUGCGGCGGUCUGAAAAACCGCAGAGUGUUGGCUCGACACCAACCGAACCCACCA